GAAAGCGUCAGCACGCUCAGCUCAUCACUGGAGUAACGUCUGUACAACGGGUGAGAUAAAACUCAACGCCUGACUGAAUCAUCCAUUCCCUUUUCGAUCCUACGCCAUACGUUAAACUUGAGGUAAUCUUGCUUUUGCUGUUCUAAAAUAAACACUGCUCUUAGCACACCACCCAUACAUGGCACACAAAACAGGUCUUGUGAGGGGGCUGUGCCCACAGGUAGAAAUUCUGUAGGUCCACGGGCUUCUCCCCUUUCAGCGAACAUCACAGCGCUUAGUCCACCAUCGUGGUCUCCAAUCUCCAUUACCAACAGCCUGAGUGCUACACCUACAGACACCCCAACCCAUGCAGCAGCUGGCAGAAGUCAGACAUCAGGCCAAACUGGAUUUCAACACACCCCACCCUUACAUGGCACACAAGUAUAUGACACACAACACAGGUCUUCUCAGGAGGCUGUGCCUACAGCAAUAGGCUUUAUGCCCAGCUGCACUACUUCCUGAACUUCAGCCAGCUCCUUGUUUCCUGUCUGCCAUUAUUGGACAAACUGAUUAAUCCAGGUGUGCCUGAGCUUAGUAGUCACAACAACAAUAAUCAGACACACCUGGAUUUAUCAGUUUGUCCAGUAAUGGCAGACAGGAAACAAGGAGCUUAAAGCCUAUUGCUAAGGAGAUCCUCAUCCAGCUCGAUUUUAUUAGAGAGCAGCAGUUGCAGACUUCACCCCAGACCCAACACAUUUUGGGCUCCCACUUUCAACUAUUGAGGAGCUACAAUGUUUGUAGGAGACAUUAAAUAAUCCAGAUGAGAAGAAGAAUUUGGUGAGACUGUUUUUCCUGGAAUGGUCGGAGACAAGACUCUUAAAGACACCGUGGGGUGGGUCCUGAAAAAAACAAUGAACUCUUCGUGGUGAGACUCAUCAAUUGAAGUGGGGUCAACUGAACGCCUGCAUUCAAAGGGCUCACUUUGAAAAGUGUGGUUUUGGGUGAGUGUCAGUGCUGGAAACGGCACUGUAGUGACAUCCCAGGGCUCUACAGUGCGACUGACUCGAUCAGUGGCUGGUUGCAUAAACCUUUAAGACUAGUCUUAAAAGUUAGUCAUUUUUUUUUCUUCAAGACUGAUCAUAAUUGUAUUUCUAUACUCAAACUCUAUUUAAAACAUUAACAUCAUAACAUUAUCAUAAAUUGAAAUGCAUUAAUGCUACUUCUGAGCCUCAUUAAACAGUCUGUAAAUAUAACUAAAUCCCACAUUUCUGUUAUAUGCCACCUCUGCAGUGCAAAGAUGAAUUGUGUUGCUACUGAUUUCAUUUGAUUGGUAACUUAUUCUUCCUGAUUGCCUCUUAUUAUUCUAACUCAAUUUAUGAAUUUGAAAUUUAAUAAGGUUAAAAUUUUAUAGUCAAAUAUCUCCUUAUAAUGGGAAGGUGAUUUUGUCAUUGAUCAGAAUGUGCUCCUAAAUUUUUGAAUGUGCUCCUAAACUAAAAAGAAAUGUAAGCGUACAGCCCUGCAUCCAAAAUAAGUUUUGGUGGUUUUAUGAGUAACA